ensembl:lncRNA
GCUUGUUGAGGGUAGUUGACAGUGGGGGGCUGGGGUGGGUGGAAAUAGAUUAUUCAAAUCACAAAGAAGUAGGUGUGCCCUAAGUGACUGUUCCAUUACGGCGAGGAAGAAAUGUUUGCCUUCCUAAGCAUUCAUCCAACUCGCUGCUGCCGAUUGUGUGGGGCCGGAGGAGAGUGCCUGCUCACGAUCGGAAAGCAGCUCCUCUCCGUGUCCUGUGCUGGUGACUUCAGAGAGUGCAUUGUCGUGUAUGGACACCACACCGACCACUCUGUAACCCUCACCCUUCGCCCAGGCCCCUCCCUGCCUGCUCUGGCUGUGCACAGCUACCCCAGAUCCUCGCCCUGCUGUUUGUGGCCCCCACACUUUGAUUUCCCCUCGUGUCUUCACUUUCCACACUUGUACAUCCCGAAAGUUUCCAAGUCCUAUGGAUUCUGCUUCUGUUAUUUCUAAUUCAAAGGUUCUGGGCUGUGCCUUCCAACUGGAUAAAGCUGACCCUGGAAUUGGCACCUGGUGGGUGAGCAAUCAGGGUCCGUUGAAUGAAAAAUGGCCUCCACCUUAAUCAAGGUUUCAGCUCCAAAAAUAAUCCUACGUGUAUCUCUGCCCACUACUGCAUUAUCCUCCAUGACAGUCGGCUUGGAUCACAUUAUUUUAAUGUUCAGCACCUAGCUUUUUCCUGAAUCCAAUGUAAAGUACUCUUUUCUUUUUCUUUUGGCACCAGGGAUCGAACUCAGGACCUUGCGCUUGUGAGGCAGACUCAGUGCCACUGAGCUAAAUCCCUGAUCCCCAAACUACUCUUUUUAAAUACACCCCAACUUAUUUUUCCUCAGUACUCCUUCACAAACUCCUAAAUACCCUAUGCUCAACACAAAACAUACAGUUCCCAAAGGAAGAUCUUCCAGCCUACACUUACCCAACUUUGUGAUGGGAAGAAAGCCACAGGGUAGGCUGGGAAGCAGGCUCUGAAGUUUGAAUUCAGUCUGUUCUGGGCUGGUGAUAGGUGGUGAUGCUUCUUCCCAGUCUGGACAGCAGCAGUGAGUCAUUUCAGCAGGAGAAACGCAGAAACUGUAGGUGGCACCGUGCGGGCAGUGUGUUUUGGAUAUUGUCAUUCAGAAAGUUAACUGAGAUAGUCAAUGCUUAAUUAUAAAAUGGGCUUUGAGUUGGGUGGUGCUGCUUAACUGUAUGUAAGGAAGGCAGGCCAGGCACAGCUGUGAUGUCCAGUAGGUGAAGAAUAGUAAAUACAUUUUUGAUUUUUUCUAUUUAUGAUGGGUUUUAGCCUCAGUAGAAAUGCAGCAGCACCUGUAUUAUUUAUUCAUUUUGGUCUCUGCCUCAUAGCUUAGUUUAUCUUCAUUUCUUCAACCGUAAUGCUUACUCUUGUUUAUUCAGCAGUAUUGGGGAUUGCACUUGGGGUCUUUGCACUGAGCUACACACCCCGUCUUUUCCCUUCUUUCCUGAGUCAAGGUGUCGCUAAACUGCAGAUUUUCCUGGGUUGAUCUCCUGAUUGUGAUUGUCCUGCCUCAGCCUCCUAGAGUGUAUCCGGCUUCACUCAUCUUUUAAAAGUGAAUUUUUACUGGGCUUUUAAGGCACAUUUCAAAUGCUGCCCCGCCCAUGGAGCUACAGUAUUUGGGUUCUGUAUGUCUUUUUCAGCUAAGCUGGAUGUUCUUCCCUUUUCAGGGAAUUUAUGGGAUUCCUACCAGCAGGUACCUGGUCGGGAGAUGGGAGCUAAACUUCCUUUUUUUGUGCCUGGACCCUCAAUGUCUUACACAUAGUAGGCACAUAGAGUACUUUCAUUAAAUUACAUUCAUGUUUGUUUUUUCCUCAGGGCUGCCGGGAUGUUUCUUUCUCUUUUGAGUCCAGGUUGAUGCUCCUCACUGUGGGGCGUGUGUCUGUGUGAGUAGCCCGCUUAGCUCCUUCAGUGAGGAGACAUACGUUGUUUAGUCCUUAUUUUAAACUACUUUUCAGAAUGGGAGAACAACGCCUUCAUUUUGGAUCCAUGUGAUGCACUUUGAAUUUGCUCAGCUUUAGUUUGUGCUGCCCCUCAUUCUGUGUGGAAAUUAGUUCCACCGAAGUGCCACUGAACUCAGAGCUGCCUGCAACUUGAGAUGCAAACUCCAACACUGUGGGCCACUUUUGAGAAGCAUGUGGUCAUUCGGGAAACAAAGACACUCCUGUUUCCUCUUCUCAAUAACAAUUAAGACAUCAGAUUAAUAGAAUCUUUAAAUUCUUGAAUGAUGCUUGCAGAACAGUUUGUGUUUGCUUUAACACAAAGGAAUACUUUCUGAAACCUAAAGGUCACCCAAGAAAUAAGAGAGAGACAAUUUAGGAAUGGUGCAUGCUGGUAGAGUUUUGCAGAAUGGCAUGUGUUCUUUACAGUGUGUUUCUGGCUUUGGAGCCACUUGGCAUGGGAGUACACUGUGAUUUACUGCAGACAGGCAUUCCUGGGCAAGGAGUCCCCUGCAUGGAAGGGACAUGCCAUCAGGAGAAGGAGAGGACACUGGGGGUGGGAUGGGGGAAGAAGACUUCUCAGUUCCCACUCUAGCAUUUACUUAAUGAGUGUAAUGUUCUUGCUAAUGGGAUUUAACCACAAUACCUGUCUCUAACCUUGUCACCGAAAAGGUAGUCUACAUGCCCCUCUUUUCAAUGCUGUCUGGGUGGAAACUGUGCCCAAGUCUGUUCUCCCAAUUUUCUAAGUGGUAAUCCUAGAAUUAUCUUGGCUCAGAAAUAAAUGAAGAACUCAUGUACAGGAGUCAGAUUUCCCUACAGGGGUUGUAACUGAAACAAGGAUUAAGUACCAGUGUACAAAACCUUUCAAGCAAUGGACAGCAUGUCAAUUGCGGAACACUCUAUCGUAGAAGGGCCCUUAGCGCUUCUCUUUUAUAAAGCCUGAGAUCAGAUUUUGGUGGAGAAUUAAAAGCAGGGCAAUUUAGCUCCUUUAAAGGGUUGCUGGUUUGGGAGGACCCAGCUAUUUUUAGCUCUGUUGCUGUCUGUCCAGGAAGCUAAAACAGCUAGUCAAUUAAAUGGUAAACAGUGUGUGUGUGUGUGUGUGUGUGUGUGUGUGCAAGGUGUUGUGUAGGAGUAGGGCAGGGAGCUGGGGAGAUAAAAUAGGCCUCAGAAAAGAGUCUACCCAGGGCAAGAACUUUGCAAAGAGUUGCACAGUGUCAUGCAGAUAAAGCAUCCACUGGUGGCCACCUGUUACACAGUGCACACGUUUAUUUGAUGUUGCGCAGCAGAUGGAAUGGAAUGACACUAAGCCAGCUGAUCACUCAUGCUCAGGCAUCCAUUGAGUGAUGGUCACAAACUCUCUGCCAUUUACUGACUAUCUGCUAUACACCUAGCAUGGCGCUUUACUUCCGGUGUGCCAUUGGAUGUUGACAGCUGCAGCCUGAGAAGCCGAUACAGAGACAUUUUUGCCCAAGAUUACCUACCUGAUAGGUGCCUGAACUGGAUUAGAAUCUAGUUUUCUUUCCAACUCUGCUCUAGUCACUUCUGUAGCCUGCCUCCCACACUGGUCCCAGCUGCACUGACACUAUGUGAUCUGAAAUCGGUGUGUGAGGGCACUUUGGCCUUCCUGGAGAAAGGCAUGGAGCACACACAGGCCCGAUAUGCACACACAGAAAUGUGUAUAUACUGAACCUACAUUUAAAUCCACAUUUUAAGUGUGCCAGUAUCCUUAAAAAGAAAUAAUGAGGGACUCUCAUUUACAUUUUGCUUUCCAGUUUUCCUGGAACUGUAAUUUGUACUCCUCUUUUUUAAAAAAAAUCCCCUUUACCUUCUUUUAUUUAUUAUGAUCCCUGGAGAAUGUGUCCUCUGCUCAUGGCCUAGAUAAGAGAUCAUGGGUAUGGAGCAGAGGUCAGCAAGAUAGACGUAUGUUAGAAAAAAAAAAGAAAAUAGCAGGGUGGAACCACAUGGCUCUUAGUGGUCAUUUUUUCCCCUCAUGCUGUGUAGCAAACCUGAGGCAUGCUCAAUUUGGCAUCUUUGAAUUUAAACCAUGGAUAAACCAAAUAGAUCACAAACUAUGAUUCCAAAUAGAAACUGUGGAUUUAUCCGAAGGUAUAUUAUAUGAUCUCAUCCAAACAUAAAAUUCAUAUUCUAAGAGUGGUGUGUAAAAUUCCCCGAGAUUUUAGUGCAAGAUAAUUUUCCCUUUUCAUGUGCCUUUCCUCAUAUUGAGAUAGGUGGAAAUCUUUUAAGAUUUUAAUUAACCUUCGUCCUAAUGAAAAACCAACUACCAAUCUAUAGAUGGAAGGAUAUUUCCUUGGACAAUGUAGCCGUUAGUGUAAGGUCUUGUUGAAUCUCUUUCAACAAGUGUUUGGAAAAAAUCAAAUUUAGAAAUAAACAUUCAUAUCUAGAGGGCCUAUCGGGGUUUCCCUCCAAGCAGACAAAGGAAUACUUUCAGUCUUAUUAUAUGUCUUUGGACAAGCUCAGCUCUCAGGGCCUGCUGAGCUCUAAUAUCUUACGAAUCACUAACAGUCAAACUUCUUUCAUUUUGAGGCCCAUUCCUGGAGGGAUAAAGAUAAUGUGGUCAAGGAUGCAACAAUCAGCUGUUGGACUCAGAUGUGGCUGUAGAUAUAAAACAGAGUAUCUCUUCCUUUCCAGAUCAAAGGGAGAGAGUCCUUAGAAUGCUCAAGUUCGAAGUAGACAAAGAGGAGAAGGAAUAUCUAGCAUCAAAAUAGUGGCAAAUAUAAAAAUCUAGGCUUAUUACUGAGACCUAGGAAACAAUUCUCAAGGAAUGUUCCUGCUGCCAGUUACCUGAGAUUUUUUAAUUACAGGCAAUUCAUGAUUACCUGUGAAAGGAGGGAUGGAGAGGAGAACUCAAACAAUGAAUGUUGCAAAAUCAUACAAAUUGGCUUGGGAAUAUUCUGCAUGAUUUCUCCCUCUUAGAAAUUUGCCUUCCUAAUUGUAUUUUGCUUAAUCCAAUAUUAAAAAUUAGUUGGUUUCCCCUGAGAAGCUCUGGAGUUAAACUGCAGAGGGAAUUAGUUUCAGGAGCAUGCCACUUGGAACGUGGUGGAUGAAACGUAUUCGGGCCUUAAUGGACCAAAAGCUCCCACAGAUAUUUUAAUCUUAAAGGAAAGUGUCAUCUUGAGCACCUUACUAGUCUUCUCAUGUUGCCUAAAAGGCUGUAAACAAGUAUUUGUGAUCGUUAUGUAGGUGAGAUUAUUUCUACCUAGAUUUGUGCAUUUUUACCUGGAGAAUGUUCCAUUCUCGUCUCUCCCCUCCUUGGUAGCUGUAGUAAAUAAUAAACCAUCUAUCAGACUUAAGCAUAGGGCCUUAAUGGGGCCAGAAAUUUUGUUGAAUAAAUGAGAACAUUACUUAAGGCAGGUCUGGGUCUCAUUGUGUGACACCCAAGCAAUCCAUGAGGUGAUGUUUGUGAUUUAGGAAUCCGAACCCUUAGGCUAUAGAGUUGUUUUCUUUGGGGUUCCAGACUAAGUUCCCUUUGCUUCCUUCCCAACUUCCUUAAUUCUUUCCUUUCUCCCUCCCUGCCCCAUUUUUUAUAUUUGCCUUGUACCAUAUUGAAAUUAUUUCAUAUUGUAAUGUUCCGUCAGUAUAUACAAAUUCAAAAGUAGACGUACAUCCCUUCAGCUUAUAGUGCAUCUACAACUGAAAAUCCAAAACAAAUUUGCACACUGAAUUCCAACAAAAUGACAAAUGCCGCACUCAGAUGAACAAUACUGAUUUGACGUGAUGAACGACAGUGAGCUAACAUUAAGUGCUCACUUGUGGCAGUGGUGGUGGACCGACUGGUAGGCUGGUGAUGCUUUAAUUUUAUCAUACCUUUCUGUGUUUGUGAUGUAGAAGACAGUUCUAACAUCUUACUUAAAUCCCCUAGAAAGCUUUGGUCCACAUAAGUGUGCUGAUAGAUCAUGUAGCCUCACGAAUCCAUAAUCCAUUUUUAGGUUCACAAUCAGGUAUUGUGGGUCCUGGUGAGUAUGUAGUUUUGGGGAGUAUUUUAAAUAAAAAGUUAAAAGGUAAUGAAAGCAGAAUAAGUGGGGUUCCUCUCAGGCCCUUGGAAAGAAUCUGUACAGAGCAGUGCUGAACAUCAGGCAUUCUUAGCUUCAAAUCCAUCUUCCAAAUCCAUCUCGUUCAUGGGUCAAGCACUUCUCUACUUUCCUUUUAUUACCAAUAAAAAUGUCCAACCGGGUAACAAUGAGGAGUUGUAUUUUGUUUUCAUUUUAAGGAUAUAGUUUUGCAUUAUACAUUGGUACUUUUUAAAGGUAAUUCUUAAAAUAAAAACAGAAAAUUAGAUAUGGUUAUUUGUAGCACAGAUGGUUGCACAAUCUUUUUAUGUAAACUAUUUCUCCUAUGAUGGAUUCCUACAAGGAAACCCUGGGAGAAAGUUUUGGGGCUUGCCUUUUUUUUCAGCAUUCGUUUAAUUUACAGAGGUCAUGGAAAUAGAGAGGUCAGCAUUUCUCAAGAACAGCUUUUCCCAACCUGCCUGGCUUCUCGGAGCUUGAUCUGGGGGCUCACACAGCCCUUGUCAUUGUCUGGCACCUCGCCUGGUAACAUGGUUGUGAGCCCUGUCAGAAGACAGGGCCAAAGUGUGCCUCAGGUCAGCAUUUCUCUGGGGACCGAGGGGGCAGGCAGAACCCAGAGGUCAGAUCUGCCUUGGGGAUAACAUUGCAGAGUCCAGUGGUUGCAAUCAGGUGUGUUAUAAGUCAAAGCCACAUGGCAAACAGCAGGCACAGGGAAUGCUCAAAGGUCAGAUGGGCAACACAAGCCAGGGUCAGGAAGAACUUGGAGCUACAAUACCAGUUGGCAAGCAAAGCAGUCAUAAAAACCAUGAUCAGGCACAUUAUGCCUGUUGGACCUAAAUUCUUUCUGCCUACGAGACUGCUGUGCUCAGAGACAUUGGCUCUGGUACCAUGUGAGAGCACCUGGUAGACUGGAGAAUAAACUAUUAUACUCAAGAUCUAACCUGCCCUCUCAGGUUCUCUUCUCUCUAAGACAGGACAGUGAUGUCUCCACUGAAGUGACCUCCAUCGUACAGGUAUCCAGGAUACAUGCUCUGGGUGGAGCUUAGUUCUAAGAGAAUGUUUAUCUUGGAACCUUCUAAGGCUUUUCAUCAAAUAGUCCUAGCUUUCUUACUCCUUGCUUUAUGGGGUUGUUGUGAAUGGGUUUUGUAAAUAAUAAAGGACUACCACAUACCAGAUGACUACAAUCCUUUCUUUCCAGUGGGGAUUCUGAUGUUUAUAUUACCUGAAAGUUGUUUUCAAGUGAGGUUCUCAGCUAAUAAAUAUUUUUUUGGGUUUUCUUUCUAUUUUUUUUUUCCUUGAUUGAGCCUCAUCUUUUUGGUGACCAAUAAUUUAUUGGAAAUUUUAUCUGAGAAAAAUGUUUGCAGAGAUGGAGAGUUUCCCAGAUUCAAAAGAGAUUUUUCUUCUAAAACUCAGAGCUGGUAGAGCUACAAGACCAGCCUCUUUGUCUAAUCAAUCAGGUUUUUAACACAAUACACCCAGCUGAUGCUUGGGUAGAAUACAAAUUCCCAGUCAUGUGAGCUCUUAUCAGUUAUAAUACUGACAAAGAAUUAGCCAGUCUCUUUUGGUAAAAUGAUAGUUGCGGGCGCCUUAAUUUUUCUAGAAAUAUUUGGGGGAUUUGAAAGCUUAAGAAGUAAACAGGUUGUUUUGCUCAGGAAACCUUCUCUGAAAGACUGAGCAGGGUUCAUCUGAUGACAUUAGCUUUGCAAGUAAUUUCCAUGAUGUCAAGGGCACACUGGAGAUUAAAGAGGGAUUAAGACCUCCUUGCACAGUUAUGGCAUUGCAGUAAAUGGACUGGACUUGGCAGGCUGCAGCUCCGGUCGGCAACUUUCCAACACCUAAUCAUACACAAUAUAGGUUUGUGGUGUUACCUGGGCUAUUUUCACAGAGGCCAAGAAAUGUUUAACAGAUAAGGUGGGAGGAGAAAGAGGCUGGGAAGGAGGGUGGACCUGAGAAGAGCAGUUUAAGACACACCUGCCACCAUCAAGAGCUGCCGAAGAAGAUCAAGACAUUAAGGAAAAACAAUUUUUUUCAUAAUGUUUCAAAACAUGAGUUUCCAUCCUUUUUCCACUCCCAAAUUCUCCAGAUAUGCCUCUCUCUUAAAAGCUUUUUAUCCUUCAUGUUAUUAUCAAUUUCUUCAGCAAAAGGAGGCAGGUUUGUCCAGGAACUUCAUGGAAUAAAAAUGAGUUUAUGUUUUAAAACGGAAACAGCUGGAUGGCCAAAGCCAGGCAGGGAGGCAGCUCUGGUUUCAUCAGCAAAGGGAAACUCAAGGGCCUGGAGAGAACAACUGGGCUGGCAGCCAUGGCGGGGAGAAGAAAAGGAAACACACGAUCAUAAAGAACUAAUCAUGAUGAAAAAUGAAAAGCGAGAAAGAGCCAAGAACAACAAGCAAUAAAUAGAUUUGGAAAGGGGAAAAGACCAAAGGAAUGCAAAACCAUACUCAGGAAAGGGGCAGCAAGAUCAUGUGCGUUUCAUUGAAAAAUGUUUAAUAAUUCUUAAAAUCAUUAAAGAGUCCUACAGAAAUGUUUGGAGAUAACUUGUCAGACCUGAGAUUUAAUUCUUUGUGUUAUUUCAAAGCUGAUUUCAGUGCAUGAAAAGAAACAAAGUAAGAAAGGAAGAAAGGAAGAAAAGGAAAGGAAGAAAGAAGGAAAGAAAGAGAAUCAAAUGGACCUAGAGGGAGGAAUCUAAUGUAUAAUGUGCCAGAAUGCUUGGAUUUUUUUCUUUCUGCUUUUAUUUUUUUUAACUUUUAAUUUCAGCCCGAUGGUAGGGAAAGUAAGCAAUUAGUUUGACUCUGUAGGUUCAAAGACUACAUCCAGGGCUGGGGAUUUAGCUCAGUGGUUUUGCCUCCUGCUGCGCAAGUGCAAAGACCCGAGUUCGAUCUCCGGUACCAAAAAAAAAAGGACUACAUCCAAAGUGAUAAAUCCUGAGUUUCUAAGAGUAAUUCAUACAUUCCUAGCUUUAAUUAGAAAUAGCAUGUACAUUUUUCUCUAUGCAGUAAUUGUCUGACAUUCAUGUGUUUGUCUCAAGGGACUGACAGUUCUGACUCACAGGUAGAUCUCUAAAUAUUUUCAGAUGAAAUUAACAUGGAUUUAAGGAGGACUUAAGAAGAAAACCAGAUCCUAGUUUGUUGUCCCUCUUGAAGUGUGUUCGACAUGAUAAAAUAUACAAACAUGGCCAAUUGUCCAGGCUAUCCUCGAGAUGGGAUUUUUAAUAAAAACUAUUUGAAGUUUUACAGCAGUUAUAGAUAAAAUCUUACCACAGAAAUGGUGCUGUCUUUUUAUAGGGGGGAUACUAAUUAUUAGCUUUUUUAAAAAAAUUAGUUUUUAAUAGCAGCAUUCGUUUAAAGAGAGAAAAAAAUGCUUAUGUUACCUUCUGGAAUGUACAUUCAUCUUGUUAAUGACACUGUAGUUCAUGGUUGGCAAAACAGGACUUCUGAAUCAACCUGUCUUUUUCUUUCCGUUUGGUAGUUACACUUGAGAAAGAAAGCCAGCCCACUAAAGAUACAUGAAAAGUGCAUGAAGACAGGAUAAAGGAUUUCCUAUGAUUUUAUGUUGUUCUUAAUUAGGAAGCAUAUUGGCAACAAAUGCUAACAUGUGUUAAGAUGUUUAGUUGUAGCCAAAUAAAUGUUUUCUAUUACAACUCUGAAUUCCAUGCCUACUAGGAAACCAUGCUGUUCUGUGCAUGGCUUACAAAAUCCCUUUACAAAUCAUCUCAAGGACCAAUUUUCUGUUGGCUCACAGAGCAAAACUACUUUCGCCACAUGUUCUCCUGAAGGGUCAUGGGCAACUCCAAGCGGAAGUCAAAGACAAGAGGAACAUGAUCUCCGAUGUUGGAACUGCACUGCUUUGUGGUAAUGAAUGGUCCUUCAUGAGCAUACUCAAUGUGAGCCCAGUCUCAGAAGGGGGUGUCCAGAAGCUAGGGAGCAGCACCCUCUCAUCUGUGUUUGUUUUUAUCUCAGUGGAGGAGAAGCCAAGUGAAGAAGAAUUUCCUAUAACUUCUGCUAGCAGUGUAUCACAAAAUGCUUCAUCUCCGAUGAACAAGAGUAGGCACCAAGCUGAGUAACAAGGCUAGAGAGGAUCCUUAUCUUGAUCAUUGCGUAUUUUUAAAGAGCAAACAUUUAUUUUCUACUUCUAAUGUCAGAAGUUGAUUGAAAAAGAACAAAAAGUGAAUGGUGGUGAAGUUGUUUCCUAAAAUUUAAUAUUAGGGCACCUUCUCUAUUCAGGAUCUUAUGUUGCAAGCUAACUGUACAACUGUCAUGCUUUUGGGGGGUAACUGGUGCAUGGAUUAUUCUAUCUGUGUCUUAGAAACUUUAAGAGAAAAGAUUUCCAUCAUGGUAUUUUCUACUGCAUUGCACAGAAAUUUUACAUACCCUCAUUCAUUUACACAGCUGAAAUGACACAGGAGAUAGCCAGCAUCUGUCCAUUGGUUGGAAAGCACUCUAGUUUUUUGAUAUCAAUAAGUCAAUGGAAUCCAUGACUUACAGCAAUCUUGCGGUAUUCAUUCAAUAUGCUAUGACCAUGUUACCUAAAAGCUUCAUCUCUGCUCCCUGCAAUAUUCUUCCUCCAAUUUUUGGCUGGUGUGUUCUCUCCCUUCUUCAUGCCUUUUUUCAAUUGUCCCAAUUCCUGAAGCUUCUCCUCAUGUCUCAAGUAUUCUCUUUCCCUGUGUGCAAUUAUUUUGUUUUCUUCAUUAAUUUAGUUCCUCUCUCCUCUUCUAGGCUAUACAUUUCAUGAGGAAAGAAAGGCAUUUUGGUGUCAUUCUGGUGCCUAAGAACCUAAGUAGGAGAUGUGUAAUAAAUAAUUUGUUCACUGAAUUAACAGGCCCAUAAUAUUUUUGUUAUUCCUCUCACAUCCAUGGGCAACAUGUUCAAAACCUUGAAAAUUAUUAAAUCAUUUCUCUGCAUUGCUAUGUAAAACUUCUAAUAUUCCUAAUAAGACUGACCAUGCUUAUGAAAUCUUUUUUCCUUGGCCCACUGAGUAUAUGGACCACGAAAUAUUUAACAAAAAAGUGAGACUGUACAAAGAAGCACUAGGUUAGUGAAAGAUGAUUUUUUUUUUUAGUGCUUUUAGGUGGUGACCUCUUAACAAUGUAUCAGAUCUUUUGUAAACCGUGAAAUGAAAUGACUGGCUAUCGGAACUAAAUUUGAAGAGAAAAACUGUCAUCUUCAAAGCAGUAAAAUCUCUAUAUAACCAUGUAAACUAAUUACUAGGUUAAGUAAAAUCACUGAAAUAUAUCAGGCCUUUCUCAUGUCUGCAGGGCAGACAUAAUACAGUAAAUUUCUAAUAGUCAGCCUGGGAAGGCGCUGUAAUGGUUAGAGGAUGUCAUGGUAAUAGUCUCAGUUUUGGUUGGGAGACUUACAAAGAGAAUAUUGGUUGUACAUAAACUGUAGAAUCUACUUGAAUAUUUCUUUUUCAUUUCUCCCUAUCAAAGAGUGGAAGAUAUUUUGUGUAUAAUGUUUUUUUUUAAUUUUAGAUUAUUUGGUAUAUUGUAUUUUUUCAUGUGGGUAACAAAAAUACGUGAGCAAGAGCAAAACCUACCAGAAGCCUCAAAAACAUAGGUACCAUGGAAGACCUCAUGAUUCUUUCAAUUAUUAAAAAGCACUAUUUUAAGAAGACAUGUUAGUAAUCCACAGUAAGUCAGAAGUAUUGGAUCAACACAUUGGAACAUUGAGUAUUUAUUUAGUUUUUGGUGCUGGGGCUGGAACCUAGGGUCUCACAUGUGGCAGGUAAAUAUUCUACAACUGAGCUGUACCCCUAGUUCUGAAUGUUUGUUUUAUUAGGUCAUUUUAUAUACAUAUAUAUUUAAAUUUGGGACAUUGUUUUCUAAAGUCUCAAACUACUCUUAUACUCAACCCCGAAGACAACCCAGCUCACCACUCUGGAUUACGACUAACUGUUUGCGUAUAUGUUUUUCCCAAGAAAUUAUGCACCUUGAAGAAAAAGACUUCAUUUUUUUUUGCUUCACAAUAUUUCCCAUGACCCAGUGCAUGGAAUGGAUAAAUUACCCUUAGCAGAGGCUCAUCAGCGAUUCCUGACUUCCCUGCUAACUUUUCCUAGAGAUGUGAAUUAAAGAUAGAAAUUUGUUCAGACCAUUGAUGGUCCUCAGAAAUACAAUCUUAAAAAGUUGAUAUCUAUCCGGUCUCAAUUCAUGGAGAGCGGUGGGAACCAGACCUCUGAAAAGUGGUUGAGUAUUGGGCUACAAGCUUAGGGGAUAGUCCAUGAGGAAUAAAACCAAAAACAUACAUUAACAUUUAUUUGCCCAAACGGCUGGUGCCUUAAAAGCUGGUGCCCUCCCCCAUUCCAAUUAACAUGGAGGGAAAUAUUCCAGCUGCUGGGAUCUUUCCUCUGCAUGCGAACCUGCCGUUGUUGCCUGGGUAGCCUGUGUGUCUCUUUGGAAUUGAUAAUGAGGUUCAAGAGAGAGAGGUAUGGCCUGUACUAAGCAUGUCACCCCUAUUUAGCACCUUUGCCAGGAUGGCAGCCACUAUUGUUUUAUUAUGUCCCUGAUCAGCUGGCACUAUUCAUAAAGUAAUCACUGCCAUUAACACAUCACGCCUCAAGCCAUCUGCUGCAGCAUCACGUACACCAAGCUGUUGGUUGCAAGCAAAGCAGGUGUCAUCUAAGGAUAGUGGCACGGUAAAGGUGGGAAGUCAUCAUAGUGAAAGAAGAUAUGUUCUAUCAAAUAAUUCCAUAUUUUGAUACAUUAUAGUAUAAUAGGCCAUGGUUAUUUUGCCCAACUUGCAGAUGGCUUAAAUAAGAUAAUUCAAGUUUGAAAUAUUUUAUUUUCAACACCGGUCAGUUAUGGAGCCAAAAAUGUCCUUGAAUACCUUGAUGAUAGCAUCUUGAUCACAAGUGGACUAUUGCAUUAAUUUGCAGUAAAGUUUAGAGCAUUCUUACAGAAGCCUUCCUCUGAUCAAUCAACUCUUCAAGUGACAAACAUUUACUGAGCAUGUAGUAAGUGACACUGAUACCUGUCUUGCUCAAAUUGUAAAAGUACUAGUUUAAAACAUGAUCUGGUAAUGUAUAUGGUAGAGACUCCAUGUGUACUGAAUUCCCACCCUUUGUUCUGUCCCUAACACUUCUCUUGAUUUUUGAAUAAUUUUAAGUUUUUAUUACUUUCCAUAUUGAUGGCAUUUUUAUGUCCAAAACAAGUUUACAUUGGAAAAAUAUAAUGAUUAAAUGCAAUCUAUAAAAAUGGAUAAAGUAUAGGAUGAUCAGUUAUUGCCACCCUCUUCAUUAUGAAGGGGAUUUGUGAUUAUACAAUCAUGAGUGGAGUUAAAAAUUUAAUUGAAAGUGUUAAGUGAGGUUAGGGAGUGAAAUAAGUGAUCAUACUUGGUCCAAAUAGUCUUUUCCACCUGCGUGUAAAGUGGAACUGCAUUCCUUGUUUCUUUAACUAUAGAAAAUUUAUCUAUUUGCUCUGUACUCCCCCCAUAAAAAAGAAAUAAUAAAACAUUAAUGAGAGUAGCUAACUCUGCCCUCUAUUUCAAUCCCCAAGCUUUGCUCUUAUCUUGGAAGUGAGAAGUGUUGGAUGAGGGGUUGGAUCUGCCAGCCCCUCUGUUACUUUUAGCAGCAUCCUGCUCUUCACUUGCUAAGGAUAUAUGUGUCUGGCUAUGCAGGCUGUGGUCCUAGGGUCCAUGUAACACAGCACUGUUCACCAGGACACACCUGUCCACAUAUCCUCUAGGCUACUGGGUGGUCUAAGGGAUUUUUAAGGCUAAAUUUGACUUUACAUUUAGAACUUCACCUCUAUGGGUGUAUGUUAAUCACCCAUGGAAUUGGUGAAGGCUACCGGAUUCCAAAAUCUAUUGAAAGCAAAGAUAGCCAUUUUCUAUAUCAAGAUUUCUCAACUACUUUUGAACUCAACUUCCUUUUGAAAGACAAAAGAAACGUCAAGCUCUCUUCUCAUCCCUGAAGAUUUGUGGAUCCAUCUGUUGUCACCAAAAAGACACUCUCAAGAUCUACUUUUGUAGGUGGAGUUAAGAAAAACGUUUUAAAACUUCUCUUCUUGCCUUUACACCCUGAGAAUUUGGAGUGUAGAUUUCAGAUGGGAAGUAGACUACUUUUCACUAUCAAAUACUCAAUUGAAGGCAAGAUUUAGUUAUUUUGACUUGAAGAUUGAAAUUUUGGAGUCUGGAAUGGCUACCUUUGAAAAUAUAAGUGAAGAUAAAAAGACACAAAUGAAGAAUCAAAGAACAAGCUAAUGAUUAUUGUCCUUUUCUAAGGGGACUACAUAUGCUCAAUAAAUCUGUGAUUACUGACUACCUACUGACUUACAGGGACAGGCAUGCUGAUGGUUUUGGAUACUGUAAUUUUAAGUUGACUUUGCCACAUGUGAUUUAAUACUUUGAAUACAAAGCCCCCAAAUUGUUUGCUAUUUUGUUUGGAUCAAAAUGUGUAGCUCAAAUGACUUUGUAAGACUGGCUUCUCAAACUAUCACCUGCCCUUACAUCAGGCUCAGAAAGAACACAAAGACAAAAGACUCUUAGGUCCACUUCUGAUGCAUUACCAGCUCUUGCAAAUGCUCAACCAAGAAAAUACAUAAUGGUUCCUCUUUCGUCACUUUUGUUAAAAUAUUUUUGUUGAAAGUUGGUAAAAGCUGUAGAUGAGCAAGCCUGGUCAUAGGUUUGAACCUGGCACAAACGACGAGGGCACCUGGGAGAUAUUCUCCCGCUGAACAUGUCCACAGUACAGUUUUUGCCUCAGGAGCAUGUUCACUGUGGCUCUGCAGGACCCAGUUGUGUGAUAGUGGGAGGCUGAUCGACUUAAAGCACAUUGGUAGCUUGUGAACACUUAAGACUGGAAACCUUCUUUGAUAAAUGCACAUCUGUCUUCUUUUUUGAAGUCCUUAGGAAAAAUGUUGCCGGACAUUUUGCUGCCCGGAGGAGUCUAGACUUCCUUAAGCAUAAACCUUAAUCCUUCCUGGCUUCCUGCUACAAUUCUUCUGUUUCCUCCCCCAUCUUUUUCUGGGCAAAGCCAAUUCUUUUUCUCUACUCUUACCUGAGGGUCUCUGUUCACUUUUGAAGCCACAGACAAUGCAAGAAACAUUUAUUCGAAUACCUAGGCCCCAAAUGUUUCUGGAAAAAUAAAAGAUGUGUGACCAAGGACAUUACUUACCCUUUCAAUCUGUGAAAUGGAGACAAUCCAGAGAUAUCCCCUAAGGGGCCUAUGGGUAAUCAUAUAAUGUUUAUAACUCUAUAAAACAAUGGGAUACUUAUCCUUGCAAUUUGUAAAUAUAAAUUUAUAAAGACUAUAACAGUUUAACUUAUUAUAGUACUUAUCAACAUUGUUAUGUGAGUACCAUGCACUAGCCCAUUGUGUCACUGAAACCCCCUUACUGAUGUUGUUAAACACUCAGGCUUCCAGAACAUACUAAGUGUUCAAUAAAUAUAAUCAGUUACUAUUUAGAGUAAGAUAAAAAGGUAAUAAAAUAAAGCUGUAAUUCUUGUAUGUACACAGCAUGGAGGAGAAAGACUACACAGCAUGGCUAAAGACUUGGAGAUCUGACUUGAAUAUUUUAAAGGACGUAUCUUAAAGCCUCCUUGAGGUAAAAAGCUUUGCUCCACCCAACGUCCCUGCCAUGAUGUUCUGCCUCAUCCCAGAACCAAAAGCAAUGGAGACAAGUGACUAUGGACUGGAGCCUCUGAAACUGUUUUUACUUGAAGACACCGAGAACUACAGCAUCAUUCAUUGUUGGCAUGUUACAGUAGAAAGACCACUGGGCUUGGGAGUAAGAAGAUGGAAAUCAAAGAGCCAGUUUUUUCACUUCAACAAAAUGGUGCUGAAGAAAUAGGAUAUUUCAGUGGUUCCUGAGCAUAACUUACAACAUCAGCAUGGUUGGAACUCUGUGCACACAUGCGUACACAUGGAUUACCCUCCUGAGCCUUUGGUUCAAAAGAUUGGAAAUUGAUUCCUAUUGUUUACAAGCAGCUGGUGUCAAUGACUACUGAUACAUCCAUUGAAUUCUAGUUUCUUCAUUUGUAAAACAGGAAUAGCAUUUCCUAUCCGUCAUAAACGAUUGUUGUGAAGAUUAAAUGCAACAAUAGACUUGUGGCACAGGCAUAAUGCUCAGAGGAAGCUCCCUUGUUUCUUCUUCCAGUGAGCCUUCCUUGUUGUAGCUCAGAGCUUCCCAAAGGGGAUUAGCUCCAUGGGAUGCUCUGCGGAAUGACUGUGUCUUGGGCAGUUGUAUUUGACACUUAGUCUUCCUUCCUGCUUGCUAAUGGACCAUUAGAACUUUAAGGACUCUAAAAUGAGCAGAAGAAAACGGACUGGUUAAAUCUGUUGCACUCAGUGUCCCCCAAAAAGUUAUUUUACUAUUAAACUUUUUAAAGUGGCAAUUAUUAAUUGAUGUUCAACAGAGCAUGCUUCAGGGAUCACUUCCCUCUACAAUCUCUAACUAAUGUUCUACCUUUCUAUAACCUCUCUCAGGGAAUUUACUGCUUGUUUUGAUCUGAUUAAGACCCAGGCUUUCUAAUCAUCCCGGACAAUAUCUGCUCUUUUUCUGAACUACUAAUUUCAGUGGACACUCAUAUUAGUGAUGAUUCUAUUUAACUUUAACUUCCUGAGAUUAUGAAGGUAGAACACAAAUUAUCUUGGAAGAAAUUAAACCAACAAUUUAGAAAUAAAAUUAAUAACUAAACAGUAAAAAUUCACAAGUACAAGGGUGUUAAAUAAAAAAAGAGAACAUUAUAUUUUGAGAGAGCAUAACUUACUCUUGCACCCAGUUUGAUGGGAUAAAUUUAAAAGUACAAGUUUGUCUGAGAGCUAAAUUAAUCCAAUAGUCAGAAAUACCUUGAUAAAAACUUAUAAAUGAACUAAAAAUAGUUAAAUGAGAUUGCUGCUGGAGGAUAACAACAUUGAAGUUGCCAAUCUAAGAGCUAUUGAGAAGCAGAAUAUAGUUACGUAGGUUUUUGGGGUGACAUAAUUUGCCUGGUCUGUAUUUUUAAAGGAAGGUGGACUAUUUUGUUUCUAUACAUCCUCCUGGAACUGAGAAUGUAUAUCUUUAGUUGAGGUGUGUCUAUAAAAUAAUGUCUUACUUAUUCAGGCCUAAGUGGAAGAGGGUACACCUGUAUGGAUGCAUGGCUUGAGGCGAAUGAGUGAACAAGAUAGUUGGAUUCAGGGUAUAAAGUUCAAAGCCAGGUCAGGAAGAGUUAGCAUUAAGACUUUGCUUCUUCAGAUAACUACUCAAUAUGUAUAUUUUUUGCAAGCAUCUUGCUUUUGCAGGUCUGCUAUGAAAAUCUCAGAAGAACAGCUUUGCUUGUGAGCUCUCCCACAUUUCUACUCUGGUCCUGGCCAGAAAGACUGUGAGAACACCCUUUCAUUUGGUAUUUGAGCCCUUCUGCCUCUAUUCCUGGCUUCAGACCAAAGGGAAUAAAUGCAACCGAACAUUUCAGAACCUCGAAAUAGUAAACCGAAAAUGGUUUGCUCUGCUUUUGGUUCUAAAAAUGAUUGACCUGAGAAUUUUUUUUCCAAACUAUCUGCUUGGUCCAUCUCUAGUGUGGAUUACUGGACUUUAGAAACCUGAGGAGGAGAGUAUUUCUUAGAAAAUACAUAAAGAAAAUAUGCAAACAAAAUUUUUAUAAUAAAGGUGCCCAGUUGCUACAACAGAGGUUAGAUUUUACGAGCAUGGUUUAUAUUCCUGAGUAUUUAAAGCAGAAGAGGCUUGGAUGAGAAAGUGGAAAACAUGGGCUUGUAUGGUGAGCCAGUUCAUCACUAGCUUAGUGACCAGGGCAGAUUCCCUAGGCUUUGUCUCCUCUGGGCAAAAUGAAUAGAAAUCAAAAGAAUUAUACUUAUUUUAAUUGAGUCAUUAUGAAGAACAAGGUAUUUCAGAAUACCUUAAAAAUUACAGUGCCAAAGACCAUGUGAAAGUCAGUAAAUCAUAGGGACUACAAGUUUGUAUGUUACCACCAAACACACCUGGUUUCAAAUCUCUGUUCCUCUGCAUUCCAGCUCUGUGACCUGCGUAUGUCACUAAAAACCUCUGAACACUGAUUUCAUCAUCUGUGAAAUGAGGAGAGUGAUGUUGGGAGAAGAAAGUCAAAUGAUGUAAAAUGGUAUUGAUGAUGCCUAUUGUACAUACUCAUAGUUCCAGGUGCCAAUCUAGAGAACCCUCUGAACUAUUUUCCACACAGUUACUUAGUCUUCUGAAUCCCAUUGAGUUGACACAAGAAUGAUGCCCAUGUGUUGGGUGGCUGCGUAGGGGGUCAGUUUACUUGCUUGGAUCCAAAAUAUGGAUUAGGCUCAAUGGGAAUAUCCAAAGGAGAAAGUAGAACACUCUGGCCGGGCUAUGCCAAGUAUAAAGCAAUGCUGAUUUGGGUCAAUUUUUAGCAUCCACUUUUCAAUAGCAAAGAGAGAAAGGUGAAAGGUAAAACUAUAUGCAGGGCCACUUUUUGUGGAAUUAGAACACCAGGACAGAUUUUCUUACAUUAGGGAUAGGAUACUUGUUUUGUGAAAAACAGGUAUUCACUAUAACUAAAUAUACAAUGUCACUGGUAGUUUACUUGAUAUUCCCUACACACAUUAAGGAUAGGAAUUUAGUAAAUAUUUGAUUUGAUUAAAUAUUAAAGUAUCAUAUAAGUCUUCCAAUGAAAACACUGUCUUUAAUCCACCCAGCAGGACUUACUGUUCUGCUACCCCUCUAAGGUGUUUGUUAAAUAGCAUUCUCUCUUCCUCCCUUCAUAGUUAAAGUUUUUGAGUGAAUAAUCCUAUUGGCAGCAUUUCUUCAUGGAUUUGGAAUCCCUACAUUUCUCUCCCUCUGGGUAUUGACACUUCUGGGCACUUGUGACUCCCCAAGGGCCACAUCCAAUGACAGUUUGUAAAUGAGAUUCUCUUUUGCCAUUUUGCAUCUUUUACCUUCUGCAGCACUUUUUUGUCCCCUCCCCCAAUUACAGUGAAUCCUUUUCUGUCGCCUUCAGGUGCUUCCUUGGGAUUCUGUCCUUUAUCGCCUUCUCUUUACCCCAUACCUUAAGCCAACCCUGCCAAUCUACUACUCUAGUUAUCUCCCCUACCCGAAACUCUGGGCCCCCAUAAUGUUCCUCCCAAGCUUGUUAUCUUCACCUGGAUGUCGUCAAGCUUGGUGUCCAAAGUCAAAGCUCAACAACUGUCUCUGUAAGCCGGCUCCCCUCUCCUGCCCCCUUCACUUCAGCCAUUUUGUUUGUAUAUGAAAAUAAACUUCUCCUGGUGGGAAAAAUUCAAACCCUCAGCACUAUCUUGGUCCCAAGGCUCUCGUUUGACCUCAAGUUCCAGGAAAUUCCCAUGUUUAGUUGUGAGCCUGUCAAUUUUAUCUAACUAUGUCUGCCACACUUACAGGGUGGACAGAUGAUGCUUCGAGGGUCUCUGGUUCUCUCUGGGAUGUGUACUCAUGCGUUCUGAAGACAGUUGCUAUAACUCCAGCCAUUUCUUCUGUAUUUUAGACAGGAAAAGGAGAUAGACCACAGAAUCAAAGGGCACUUGCCAAUGCCCAAGGGGCAUCCUUUAAGGGGAGUUUUCUUGAAGGAACUGUUUGAUAAUCUUUGCUUAUAUUGAGUUGACCAGAGCAGAGCUGCAUCAAUCCACCAGGGAGGCAAAGAAAUAUAGUCAAAACAUCUGACCACAGUGCUGCUCCAAUGAGAUAGAACACUAUGGGAAGGGAAGAAAAAGCAGCAUGAGAUUGAGUAGAUGACCAAGGGUCUUUACAAACCCGUUCUCUUUACUUUCCUAUGUUUUCUUAAAAGAAACAACCACUGAAUUUGGAAGGAUAAAAGAGACUACAGUUCUUUCUUUCCCACCCUCAUCAUCUUACUUCAUACUCUUCUUACCUUUUUGCUUAGAUUCUUGCAAAGUUACAUGUAAGUCCCUACUCCACUUUUACUAUUUCCUCGGGUCUCCACGCAUUUAUUAAAGAAGAGAGUGUUGCUGAUGGGCACUGUGCAACAUGCUCAGGAUGAAAGAAACAAUGUCCUUGUUCUUGAUUUGAUCUACACAUUAUAUACCUGUCACAAACAUCACACUGUACCCCAUAAAUAUGCACUAUUAUUAUGUGUCUAUUAAAAUCAAUCAAUCAUCAAUCAAUCCCAUGACCUUUGUUAUGGUACAUAUAGUCCUGUCGGGGAGACCAACAUGCCAGCAACUGGUCCCAGUACACCACAUCACAGGAUGAGAUGGACGUGGACGAAAUGAAUUGAGGAAGCAGAGAGAAAACCAUGGCUACUGGAGCCUGGGAAAGUCUGAGAAGACUCUAUAGAAAAGUGGAUAUUGUCAGCUGAGUUGUGUUUUAGUAAGCAUUUCACAGGCCAACUCAAAGAGAAAUAAUAAGUUUUCUGUGUUUGCAAACUAUUGCCCAUGAAAAACUGAGGGGUGACAUACUUGACCUCACUCCAAAUUUAAUUUUUAAAGAAAGGAAUCAUAAGUAAAAGUAAUUUAAAAUAUAACAUUACAGGGCACAGUAUUGAUAAAUGAGAGGAAAACUGGUUCUUAAAGAGUGUACCACUCACUGACCAUGCCCUGAAAUUAACUGAGAACUCAUUUGUCAAGAGUGUACCUACCCUGAGAAAAUCUUCCAAUUAACAUCAAAAGUGAUCAUUCUUAACCUCUCAUGCAUUAAGAAAUUCUUGUCUGCACCUGAUGUUCUGUUCAUAAUCAAUGGAGCUCUUUAUGUAUGUUAUUUCAAAUUUAUCACCCUGUAUAUUACUAAAAUGAACGAAUUAAUAAAUGAAUCUGCUGUAGGUCCAGAAGCCAGAUUUAUUUGUUGUCUCCUGGUUCUCAUAGGAUUUUCCUUUGGUCUGUAAGUCAUUUCACUCUGCAGUUUCUCACAGUUUCCGAUAUUUAUUGAUAGCUACUGACAGCAUGUGUUGGUACUUACAGACCAAUGGUGUCUAUGUAAGAAAAAUGCUUUUUGGGAGGAUUAGAUCUGUUCUGAAAAAUGUCAGCCAUGUCACUAUCAGACUAUGCUAAGAAGACAAUGCAAAAGUCCUAUCAGUUCUAACUGUAAUAUAUUGUCACAGAAACAUGCCUCAAGAUAAAUUAAGUAAUACUUGAUGCUGUCAUGGUAAUGGGAAGAUUGAUAAGUUUAUAAACUUUGGUUGAGAACAAAUUAGUGCAAUAUUCUUGGUGGCCACUAUCACGAUAUGAGAUUAAGAUAUGUUAGGCUAUAUCCCUAAAUUUGGACCCUUAAUUUCUACCUAUAAGAAUCUACCUAUGAAAAUGAUUAAAAUUUAGAAUAUGAUGUAGAAAAUGGAAGUCAGAGCAUUCAAUAAACUGCAAAAUAUCCAAGAGCUCGAAUAUUAUGUAGUCUAUCAAAAAUUCUGUCUUCAAAUAUUUUUGAUUACAUAAAAAAGUGCCUGUUACAUUCAGUGAUGGACAAGAAGGAAAGUAUUAAGGUCUCAUCCCUCUCUAUGUGGAUAAAUGUCAUUCAUGUUUAUGCAUGCAUAUCUUUCAUGUGAUUUGCACUGGACUGCUAAGAGUUUAAGUGAUUCCUGUUAUCUUCAGGGUUAUCUAAAUUUUAUAACUUUCUACAUCAAGAAGUGUGAGUUUCAUAAUCAGGAACAAAAAAGAAAAUCUUAAAAGGAAAGCUAAACAAAGAUCAUGCAAGAGAGUAGGAAGGGUUUGUUUUUGGCCCUUUUCAUAUGUAAUUGUCUACACUAAUAAUUCUCAGACUUGCAUACCAAGUGAAGUCAAUCUCACUAAGGGUCUCAAUCAAGACUCAGGCUUGAGUGUGUGCUCCAGGCUCUGAGCAUUCCCCCAUCACCCCUCUCCAUCCUGUCCUCCAAAUUUCCAUCCAUUUUUUUUUUUCAAGCCAGGAAUGUUCCCAUAUGUCUGUAAUCCCAGCACUUUAGGUGGCUGAGGCUGGAGGAUUGCAUGUUCAAGCCCAGCCUGGGCAAUUUAGUGAAUUGGAAAGACAUUGUUUCAAAAUGUAAUAAAUGAAUGAAUGAAUGAAUGAAUAAUAAAUAAAUGAAUGGGCUGAGGAUGUACCUCAGUGGAAAGGCCCUGUGUUUAAUGCCCAGGAUUGAAAAAAGGAAUUUACUUUUUUACCAAAGCACAGCUAUUGUCAUGUGACUCCCUCCUUGAAGCAUCAUUAUAACUUCCUGACUGCUCGGCGUGCUCAGCGUGGCUCCAGCUCCUGUCCACCGUCUGAUACCUUUUGUAUCGCCUCAUCUUCUGACACUCCAGCCCAGCAGGCGUCUGGUUCCCUUCACGACACGCCUCACUCUGCCCUCCCAGUCACUGUUUCCUCAUGUUUGUUCGUUCUGCUCACCCUUCAAAGCCCUGCUAAAAUUCCUAGAAUGUUCAUUGUGAAUGUUUUCCUCCAUCAUUUCCUCUGUGGACUGUAUUGGUCUCUUUUAUUGCAUUUACCAGGAUUUAACUUGUUUCAUGCUUACUUGUGUCUUUCUCUUCUUGUGUUGUUAGCCCCCCAAAUUAUACCAUCUGUUGUGAUUUUCAGUUGUUAGCAGGUAUUACAGUCAUCUAAGGGUUAAUUAAAACAGAAAUUUGGGGUCCCAUUCCAAGUAUUUCUAAUGCAAUAUACCUGUGGAGGGGCAUAGGAAAGUCCUUUUCCAAUAAGGCCACAGGCGCUGCUGCUACAGUUGGUGACAGAAAACACUUUGAGAACCAUUGCUUUCCAAGGAGGGUGAGAAUGAUGUAAAACAAAUGAGACUCUGCUUUGCUGUGGAAGAUAGAGCACGGAUAGUGAAAUCAUAGGAUUUCAUGCAACUUGGGUUAGAUUUCUGUUCUGUCACUUGAUGUUUGAACAAGUUACUUAACCUUUCUAAGAAACUUAACUUUCUUGCCAGGUAGUUUAGGAACAUUAUUAACUCUUAUAUAAGAAUUUUUUCUGAGGGUUAUAUAGGAUUGCAAAAUACCCAAUAAAUGGUGGCUACUACUAUGAAUCCAUUUAUUCUACAAAAUAACCGUGUAAGAUACGUUUUUGCUCCCAUUGGCCGUACUGUACCCCCAGACAGCUUCUUGGACUUUUAAUUAAAG